ACGGGGUGCAGCAGGCGCGAAAACUUUACAAUGCGGGAAACCGCGAUAAGGGGACACCGAGUGCCAGCAUAUUAUGUUGGCUGUCCAUAUGUGUAAAUAACAUGUGUUAGCAAGGGCCGGGCAAGACCGGUGCCAGCCGCCGCGGUAACACCGGCGGCCCGAGUGGUAGCCACUAUUAUUGGGUCUAAAGGGUCCGUAGCCGGUUUGAUCAGUCUUCCGGGAAAUCUGACAGCUCAACUGUCAGGCUUCCGGGGGAUACUGUCAGACUUGGGACCGGGAGAGGUAAGAGGUACUACAGGGG
rnacentral:rRNA from 1 species